rnacentral:misc_RNA from 1 species
UCUCCGUAGGUGAACCUGCGGAGGGAUCAUUACAGAGCUCUCGCCCUCGCGGGUAGAUCUCCCACCCACUGUUAUCGUUACUGUGUUGCUUUGGCGGGCCGCCGGGCCCCGCUCGGCCGCCGGCUCCGGCUGGCGCGCGCCCGCCAGAGGCCCAGCAAACUCUGAAUGUUAGAGUCGUCUGAGUACUAUAUAAUAGUUAAAACUUUCAACAACGGAUCUCUUGGUUCUG